AGAGUUUGAUCCUGGCUGAGAACGAACGCUGGCGGCAUGCCUAACACAUGCAAGUCGAACGCUAUCUUUGAUAGAGUGGCGCACGGGUGAGUAACGCGUGGGAACCUGCCUUUUUCUGCGGGACAACGGUUGGAAACGACCGCUAAUACCGCAUACGCCCUACGGGGGAAAGGUCCGCCGGAGAAAGAGGGGCCCGCGUUUGAUUAGCUUGUUGGUAGGGUAAUGGCCUACCAAGGCGACGAUCAAUAGCUGGUCUGAGAGGAUGAUCAGCCACACUGGGACUGAGACACGGCCCAGACUCCUACGGGAGGCAGCAGUGGGGAAUAUUGGACAAUGGGGGCAACCCUGAUCCAGCAAUGCCGCGUGUGUGAUGAAGGCCCUAGGGUUGUAAAGCACUUUCACUGGUGAAGAUGAUGACGGUAACCAGAGAAGAAGCCCCGGCUAACUUCGUGCCAGCAGCCGCGGUAAUACGAAGGGGGCGAGCGUUGUUCGGAAUUACUGGGCGUAAAGGGCGCGUAGGCGGCUCUUUAAGUUAGGCGUGAAAGCCCCGGGCUCAACCUGGGAACUGCGCUUAAGACUGGAGAGCUAGAAAACGGAAGAGGGUAGUGGAAUUCCCAGUGUAGAGGUGAAAUUCGU
rnacentral:rRNA from 1 species